AGCAGCCGCGGUAAUUCCAGCUCCAAUAGCGUAUAUUAAAGUUGUUGCAGUUAAAAGCUCGUAGUUGAAUUUCGGGGUUAGUAGGUUGGUCAUGCCUCUGGUAUGUACUGGUCUCACUGAUUCCUCCUUCCUGAUGAGCCGUAAUGCCAUUAAUUUGGUGUUGCGGGGAAUUUGGACUGUUACUUUGAAAAAUUAGAGUGUUUAAAGCAAGCUAACGCUUGAAUACAUUAGCAUGGAAUAAUGAAAUAGGACGUUCGAUCCUAUUUUGUUGGUUUCUAGGAUUGACGUAAUGAUUAAUAGGGAUAGUUGGGGGCAUUAGUAUUCAAUUGUCAGAGGUGAAAUUCUUGGAUUUAUUGAAGACUAACUACUGCGAAAGCAUUUGCCAAGGAUGUUUUCAUUAAUCAAGAACGAAAGUUAGGGAUCGAAGACGAUCAGAUACCGUCGUAGUCUUAACCAUAAACUAUGCCGACUAGGGAUCGGAUGAUGUUAAUUUUUAAUGUACUCAUUCGGCGCCUUACGG
rnacentral:misc_RNA from 1 species